AUAAUAAAGAAAUCCUUUCCUUUGUCUCUCCUCUUUCAAAUCAGAAACGCUAAAUUUAUUGCAACCACCACAGUGAUGAAGAUGAUGAAUACGCGUGUAUGUUGUUGAUUGUUGGUUUUGUUCGAACCGUGAACUAAAUCCCGCAUUGUUUGUAUUUUCUCUGCUAAUAGGUUACCCUUUGGGUAUCGUUUUUUUUCGUUCGGUCUUUGUGGUGUUCGGUGGGUUAUAACAGAGAUGGCGGCUAGAGUUUGUCAUGGUGGUGUCGGCUACAGUACAGGAGUGAUGAUGGUAGAGUUAAAAGACGCUAGAUGAUAUUUGGUGAUAGCAGAAACGAAGUCUUGAUGAACUAAGGUCCCGGCAAAUCUUCUGUGUGAUUUCCUAUCAAUUCGAGGCAAUAAAUGAUGAAGGAAUGCCAUUCAGCUAUAUAUAUACAGGUAGGACUAAUUAACCACUUAGAUGUAAGAAAGAAAGGGUAUGAAAAGAAACCAUCAACAAACGAUUCUGGCUUACCAAAUAAGGUAACUUGAACACUAUAGUCUUGAAUUCUUGGUUAUUAUUAAAGAAUCUGAUAAACUUUUUAAUCAUUUUUCAAUGUAUGUGGUGUUGAUUAUUGCUUUUGCUCUGACCCUCUAUGGGAGGCGAAGUAGACGGAAUAGCUCUGAAUUAGCUUCAACUUUAAGUGGAUUGAAGAUAAGCAAUCAGACAUUCAAUGGCCCUAUAUUUUUGCAGAGGUGGUGGUGAGCCCUCCUUUUGUGCUUCUUGCCACUGUUAAAAGUGAAUUGAGGCCCAAAAUCCAAGUUGCAGCCCAAAAUUUAUAGGUUAACAAAGACAAUUGAACCAUUAAAUACAGCAACUUCUUUCAUCUUUGCGAGCUCUAGACCUACUUAUGAGCUUCAAACAAAACAAAUAGCUAAGGCUUAACAUAAACAACCUUGGCCAUCUUCACCAUGACCCAACAAAUUCGCACACGGCUGCAGCGAAAGCGCAGGGUGGGAGAUUUGGGAAUCUUAAUAAGAAGAGGGUGACAUUUCCAUAGUCUUACAUGAGUGAAUCUGUAGAUGGGAAUGACAAGCACAAACUACAUGCUCUUGUUGCCCAUCUAGACAUGUUGAGGUGGGAAUCGUGAUGCUUUGUUGGAUAAACCACUAAAAAGAGAAGUUGAGAAAAUUAAGGUCUCUGGUCAACAUUUCAAGUGUAACAGACCAUUUGUCCUGGUGAGUGGUGACAAGCAUGCCCACUCACUUCCAUACAUCUACCCCAUGCAACCAGUUCCUGUAAGAAUUGUGGACAUGCCAAAAGACUUAAAUGGUUAUGGUCUCAGUAAUAUUGACUUGGUGGUAAGAUUGGAAGGUUAAACAGGAGAAAUAUAUUAUGUAAAUGAACAGCAGAUACGGUGGUGAAGGAAAAGGAGGUGGCGAGAUUCAACGGACCGGAUUCAAUGGAGAAGAAUUGCAAACAUUGCAUUUGGAGAGAUGAAGAAUUGAAAGACGGUGGAGAAUAUCUUUUUGCAGUUAACAUCAAUGGCCCAUCGUCACCAUCUCUUCCAUAGCUGUUGAUCCUAUUCAAUCAUCCUUGGCGUUAUAAUGACAUUCAAUAUCGAGUGGCAUUAUAUACCCAAGUCUGUGCUUCGAUUUUGUGGCGUACAGGUCAGAUUGAGAAAUCAUCUCGGCAUUUGACAUGGGCAUAUAAGAUUCGUGGAGAAUGCGAAAUGUUACUUUGUCCAUGAAAAUGAGGAAUAUAAAGCGAAUUCGAAUAUCGAGAUGUAUGUAUGGACCAUGUAUAAUAUUAUAUGCUUUCAAUCCACUGUCUUUACAUUGAGCCAGUCAAACUUUUAGACCCGAUUUCAUGAAGCAGAUCAACGAGUAUAUGGUUUUCCAACCGUUUGAUUACACACAAAUCAGAAAUAUCAUCGAAGUUGAAUCAUGUGAAAGACCGGAAAGCGGUGAGGAGUUUUUGCUGUUGAGCAUUGAUCUCAAAUGGUGCAUCAAUGACGAAGAAUAAUGGCCACAUCAGGGUCAUCGGCGAUGCCACCCUUGGUAGCACACGGAAUUGCCAGAACCUAACCGGACAAUCGGCCCUUCCCGAAACCCUGAUGCCAAGUUCCUCUUUUUGUCUAGCAUCGCCUUCUCUUUCUCUCUCUGAUGUCGAUGUCGAGGUUUUGCAGAUACAACGAGGACAUGUGUCAACUCUAAACAUAGACGUGGCUUCACCGCCCACAUCAGCGAAUAAGAGAAGAAACAGAAGAAAUUCUAUAUUCGUUAAACCAAAGAGGCUAUUGAUGUUCUCGGGAAACUAGGGUUUGACUCAGAACUUUUGAGCCCGACCCAUGAAAAAAAAUGAUUCAGCAGUUCGUUGAGGAUGAGGUUUCAAUGAGGAUACUGCGAGAAGACUUUAGUGAAGAUGAUACAUAUGAUUGUUGGCACGUCAGCAACGGUUAAGGAUGGUGUUCAUAUCAGGAUAUUUGAGAGGGAAGACGGAAGAGGACAUGGUUGCAUAUAAUUGAAUGAAGGGCAUGUGAGUUGUUAAUAGAUGGUUUUAGUAUUAUUAGUUACGUUCAAGUGCAACAAGAUUAUUUGUUCCACAUUGUUUUUCACUUUUUCCUAUGGAACUAUGUU